ACACGACUACAUUAGAUACCCGCGUAGUCCCAGCCCUAAACGAUGCGCGUUAGGUGUAUCGGUGACCACGAGUCACCGAGGUGCCGAAAGGGAAACCGUGAAACGUGCCGCCUGGGAAGUACGGUCGCAAGGCUGAAACUUAAUGGAAUUGGCGGGGGAGCACCACAACGGGUGGAGCCUGCGGUUUAAUUGGACUCAACGCCGGGAAGCUUACCGGAUAAGACAGCGGAAUGAUUGCCGGGCUGAAGACCCUGCAUGACCAGCUG
rnacentral:rRNA from 1 species